UACGUAGGGGGCAAGCGUUGUCCGGAUUUAUUGGGCGUAAAGAGCGUGUAGGCGGCCAUGCAGGUCAGCUGUGAAAACUCGAGGCUUAACCUCGAGCUGUCGGCGGAAACCAUCUGGCUAGAGUCCGGAAGAGGAGAAUGGAAUUCCCGGUGUAGCGGUGAAAUGCGCAGAUAUCGGGAAGAACACCCGUGGCGAAGGCGGUUCUCUGGGACGGUACUGACGCUGAGGUGCGAAAGCGUGGGGAGCAAACAGG
rnacentral:rRNA from 1 species